UACGUAGGGACCAAGCGUUGUUCGGAUUUACUGGGCGUAAAGGGCGCGUAGGCGGCAAUUCAAGUCAGCUGUGAAAUCUCCGGGCUUAACUCGGAACGGUCAGCUGAUACUGCUUUGCUAGAGUACAGAAGGGGCAAUCGGAAUUCUUGGUGUAGCGGUGAAAUGCGUAGAUAUCGGGAAGAACACCCGUGGCGAAGGCGGCUCUCUGGGACGGUACUGACGCUGAGACGCGAAAGCGUGGGGAGCGAACAGG
rnacentral:rRNA from 1 species